rnacentral:rRNA from 1 species
GAACCUGCGGAAGGAUCAUUACAGUAUGAUUUAGGGGGUUGGAUGCUGGCCCGCGAGGGCAUGUGCGCACCCCCGUCUUCUAAUCCCACACACACCUGUGCACCUAUGGCGAGCGUCUCCCAUUUGGAGCCGUCUGACGCCUCUCUCCGGAGGGGCGCUGGACCGGGGCGCUCCCUCCUUUUUCUUACAUCUCAGCCUGUUUCAAACGCAUGUCUUUUUGAGCCCUACGGGGUGGAAAAUUGUAAUACAACUUUCAACAACGGAUCUCUUGGCUUUCGCAUCGAUGAAGAACGCCGCGAAAGUGCGAAACGUAAUGUGAAUUGCAGAAUUCAGUGAAUCAUCGAAUCUUUGAACGCAUCUUGCGCUCCUUGGUAUUCCGAGGAGCAUGCCUGUUUGAGUGUCGUGAAACACCCUCAACCUUUCCUUCUUUGCUGAAGGAGGGUUGGAUUUGGACGCUUGCGGCGGGUUUCCUCUCGCCGCUCGUCUCUAAAUGCAUCAGCUUGGUCCCAUAGAGUUGGUUCGACGACGGUGUGAUAAUAUACUCUUCGUUGACUGUGGCGCCGUCCUGGGCCGACUCUGAACUGGGCCGCUUACAGCCGUCUUCGGACAAUGAUUUCAUGUCAUCUGACCUCAAAUCAGGCAGGACUACCCGCUGAACUUAAGCAUAUC